AAUGAAAUCUUAUUUCGAUUAAAAACAACGAAAUUUUGACCCAAUAAAAUAUGUGCUUCUACAGUAUUUAAAACAUCAUAGGAGUAGAUAUUUGUGAAAUGAUAAUCUCUAACAUCCGUAACGAACCAUCCAAGCUUUUUAUCAAAUAUAAAUAGACAACUGAUUUAUAUGUUUGACUUUUUAUCGGUAUAUUUCAUAAUUGUGUUUUGUACAUCCAUCAGAGCAUGCAAUUUUAAUACAAUUAGGUAUUUCACUAUUUUAGACAGAUAUUUCAUGUCAACAUUUUUAAAUCAAUGUAAUGUUGAUUACAUACUAAUGAAUUUUUUUAAAAAGCGUGCUUAUUAAGUUAAAAAUGUAUUUUCUACAAUGAAUAACCUGUAUUUGAUUUUUAUUCUCUAAUAUUUGGUUGUAAAAUGUAUUUGAAAAAAUAUUCUCAAUGAAAAAGGUCAUUUGCUAACUUCCGUAACUUUGGGUCAUUAUCUUUAAAAAUCCCUCCGACAUCAAUUUGUGAUGUACAAUUUCUCAACAUCUCUAUAUUAAUGUUCUGUUGUUUCAAUAUUUUAAUUAAAAUCAUUGAACAUUUG
rnacentral:sRNA from 1 species